UACGAAGAGGGCUAGCGUUGCUCGGAAUUACUGGGCGUAAAGCGCGCGCAGGCGGUCUUCCAAGUCAGUGGUGAAAGCCUGGAGCUCAACUCCAGAACUGCCAUUGAAACUGUUAGACUUGAGUACGAGAGAGGUGAGUGGAAUUCCCAGUGUAGAGGUGAAAUUCGUAGAUAUUGGGAAGAACACCGGUGGCGAAGGCGGCUCACUGGCUCGUAACUGACGCUCAGGCGCGACAGCGUGGGGAUCAAACAGG
rnacentral:rRNA from 1 species